CCAACGGCCCUUUUUAGGGCCACGGAGAGGAAAAGCAUGUGAUAA
rfam:Angiostrongylus cantonensis strain Taiwan genome assembly, scaffold: ACAC_contig0001699